rnacentral:lncRNA from 1 species
AUGGGAUUGAGUUAUGACAAGCUGAACAGAAGCCCUGAAAGGUCAUGGGCUCAUUUCUUCAUUUAUGAUGAAUUGUCCAGAGUUUCUGCAGACCGACCAAAGGUGAUGAUCCCACAUCAGCAACAAGAGUCAGGAGGAAGACUUCAGAAGCAGGAAUGCAUAGAUCCAAGAAAGAUCAUAUGUGAAGCACCAGUCUAUGCUCUGUAUCUCGCCUUCCACUUUUCAAGGCAUCACUCUAAUGAAGAUCUCCUCCUUCAGCUGUGCUCUCCAUGGCCUCUGAACAUAUAACAUAGUCCUAGCUCACCCAAAUGAAACAAACAGGUAACACAAAAUCUUCCUCAAUCCUUUCUCCUUUAUCUUUUAAAUUUCGGAUUC